rnacentral:lncRNA from 1 species
AAAAAAGACAUAAGGGAUCAUAUUAAUCAGUUUGCAGUCACUCAAACUUCAAAAAAAAAAAGUUCCUUUGAAAACAACUAAUUUGCACUACUUCUCAGCCAGUAAUGAUUCUCCAUGAAUUAUCAGCAGGAGUUUCACGUCAGAAGUCAUACGCUAGCUGGUCUCAGCAUAAGGAAAUAGACUCCAGUGACAACUCAGUGGUCUUUGGGAAGGAAUGCUCUGGACGAUGAAAGUAGCUGCCAGGGGACUUUUCAAGUUAAAGGCAACAGAGCAGGAGGUGAGUGCUGGGAAAUGAAAAUACAACGUUUUUGUGUGUUUAGCUUGUACUUAGGGUUUCUCUCAUCACAAACACAGAUGUGUAUG